GAUGAACGCUAGCGGCAGGCCUAAUACAUGCAAGUCGAACGGGAUUAAGAGGCUUGCUUCUUAUGAGAGUGGCGCACGGGUGCGUAACACGUAUGCAACCUACCUUCAACUGGGGGAUAGCCUUCCGAACGGGAGAUUAAUACCGCAUAAGAAAGUAACUAGGCAUCUAGUAGCUGUUAAAGAUUUAUCGAUGUAAGCUGGGCAUGCGUCCAAUUAGUUAGUUGGGGAGGUAAUGGCUCACCAAGACGAUGAUUGGUAGGGGAACUGAGAGGUCAAUCCCCCACACUGGCACUGAGAUACGGGCAAGACUCCUACGGGAGGCAGCAGUAGGGAAUAUUGGGCAAUGGGCGCAAGCCUGACCCAGCCAUGCCGCGUGCAGGAAGAAGGCGUUAUGCGUUGUAAACUGCUUUUAUACAGGAAGAAACGACCCUUGCGAGGGGCAUUGACGGUACUGUAUGAAUAAGCACCGGCUAACUCCGUGCCAGCCGCCGCAGUAAUAC
rnacentral:rRNA from 1 species